rnacentral:lncRNA from 1 species
CCACUUCUUUAUUUUAUUCUUGAAAAAUCUUAUUUAUACACGUAAGCAAUGAUGAAUGUGGACAGCAAUGUGACGCAAGAGGGUCUUUCAUUUUUCAAAACUCUAAUUAACCCCUUCAAGUCUUGCCUUAGACCUGUGCUGCCAUUCUAGACCAUUUGCCUUUGGCUUCCAAAAUCACGGAGCCUUUGGUUCCUUUGACAAUUUCUUUUAAUCAGCUUUAGCUUGUAAUCUGGUGUGGAUAUCAAUUAUGAGAUAGACCACAUACAUGGGACUUGAUCCAGCAUGUGAAAUUACGAACGUACUGUUGCCACCAAUAACUAUGCAGUAAAUAUAUAUAUAAAUGUGUAUGUGUAUUCACGAGCUCAAAACGAAUGGGUUGCGUUAAUUUACAUACCAUAUAUAGUGAAGAAGAGAAGAAGUAUGGCGUGCUAGUCAUGUCUGUUCCUCAAGUGCUAGUUAGGUAGCCCACUAGAGAGAAAAGUCCUUCCUUGGAAGGGAACGCCCCGCACAAACUAUACUGCAUACAUACAUACAUAUAUAAAUUGCAAGGAAAAGAAAAAAUAAAAUGUAAUAUUGCAAGUUUGUUAAAUCAUGUCAAGUUGAAUCCCCAAUUUUCUUC